rnacentral:rRNA from 1 species
UACGGAAGGCAGCAGUGGGGAAUAUUGCACAAUGGGCGCAAGCCUGAUGCAGCCAUGCCGCGUGUAUGAAAAAGGCCUUCGGGUUGUAAAGUACUUUCAGUCGUGAGGAAGGUGUUAAGGUUAAUAACCUUAGCAAUUGACGUUAGCGACAGAAGAAGCACCGGCUAACUCCGUGCCAGCAGCCGCGGUAAUACGGAGGGUGCGAGCGUUAAUCGGAAUUACUGGGCGUAAAGGGCACGCAGGCGGUUAAUUAAGUUGGAUGUGAAAUCCCCGGGCUUAACCUGGGAAUGGCAUUCAAGACUGGUUAGCUAGAGUCUUGUAGAGGGGGUUAGAAUUCCAUGUGUAGCGGUGAAAUGCGUAGAGAUGUGGAGGAAUACCGGUGGCGAAGGCGGCCCCUGGACAAAGACUGACGCUCAUGUGCGAAAGCUGGGGAGCAAACAGGGAUUAGAUAC